rnacentral:snoRNA from 1 species
CACAGGGCUUCAGGCAUGUCACUACCUCUCGAGGCACAUUUUGUUCUCAUUUAUGAAAGUAAGAUUGAGGUCUCUUUGAGUUCUAAAUUUGUGUUUAUG